GACGAACCGUGCAAACGUUGUUCGGAAUCACUGGGCUUAAAGGGCGCGUAGGCGGGCGGGCAAGUCAGGGGUGAAAUCCCACGGCUCAACCGUGGAAGUGCCUUUGAUACUGCUCGUCUGGAGGGAGGUAGGGGCGUGCGGAACUUCCGGUGGAGCGGUGAAAUGCGUAGAUAUCGGGAGGAACACCAGUAGCGAAGGCGGCUCGCUGGGCCACACCUGACGCUGAGACGCGAAAGCUAGGGGAGCGAACAGG
rnacentral:rRNA from 1 species